GUCCUCAGCCUCUUGGGUAGCUGGGACCACAGGCGCGUGCCACCACCAUGCCCAGCUCUUUCUCAGUUUAACUGUGGUUAAAACUGGUGUUUGGGGGCAAUGAGAGAGACCCGCGAAAAAUGGGAAACAAGGGAUAGGGCUGACCUCUUUUGCGGACAAAGAAAAAUAAAACAAAGCUUCCUCAGAAAACUAAGUUGCCUCACAGCCGCCUGGUAUCAGGAAGCACUGAGCCCGCCCAACGCGGGCUCCUCCCCGAGCAGGCCGCCCUUGUCCGCCCGGAGCUGGGGAGGGGGGGGCGGCCGCGGGACCACGUGGCCCAGAGCGCCCUUCCUGCGCCGCCAGCGGUGGCGGGGCCGGGCGCGCCUGCUGAGCGGGGCGGGACGCGGACUCCCAGGCUCUGCGGAGAGCGGCUGCCACCGGCCUCUGAUUUUUUCUUGAGACCUAGUCUGGCUCUGUGGCUCAGGUUGGAGUGCGGUGGUGUGAUCACGGCUCACUGCAGCCUCAGCCUCUUCUCGCCUCAACCGCUCCGGUAACUGGGACCACGAACGGGUGCUACCACCCCCGGCUACAUUUUUUGUAUUUUUAGUGGAGACGGGGGUCUCUCCAUGUUGGCUAGGCUGCUCCCGAACUCCGGAGCUCAAGCGACCGACCGGCCUGCCUGGGCCUCCCAAAGUGCUGAGACUGCAGGCAUGAGCCACCGCGCCCGGCCGAGAGCCUCUUUUGGCUACUCCUCGCCUUUCCGGGGCCAGGCGUGUGCAGCUCAGUGGAGAAGGGUCCCUGCCCUCUACGAGACGUCCUGGUUGCCGAGGUCAGAGGCGCGGAGAACGGGAGACCUGAGGUCUCAACUGCUUCUUACCAAUGUUAAUUCCACCGACUACUAUCAGAAUCUGAUGAGCAAUCCACUCAUCAGAUAAGCUGUUUCUACACUGUCCUGAAUGACCAUAUUAUAGAUGCUGGGAAAAAAAUUGUA